rnacentral:rRNA from 1 species
GAUGAACGCUAGCGGGAGGCCUAACACAUGCAAGCCGAGCGGUAUUUGUCUUUCGGGACAGAGAGAGCGGCGUACGGGUGCGGAACACGUGUGCAACCUGCCUUUAUCUGGGGGAUAGCCUUUCGAAAGGGAGAUUAAUACCCCAUAAUAUAAUGAAUGGCAUCAUUUAUUAUUGAAAACUCCGGUGGAUAGAGAUGGGCACGCGCAGGAUUAGAUAGUUGGUGAGGUAACGGCUCACCAAGUCGAUGAUCUUUAGGGGGCCUGAGAGGGUGAGCCCCCAAAAUGGUACUGAGACACGGACCAGACUCCUACGGGAGGCAGCAGUGAGGAAUAUUGGACAAUGGGUUAGCGCCUGAUCCAGCCAUCCCGCGUGAAGGACGACGGCCCUAUGGGUUGUAAACUUCUUUUGUACAGGGAUAAACCUACUCUCGUGAGAGUAGCUGAAGGUACUGUACGAAUAAGCACCGGCUAACUCCGUGCCAGCCGCCGCCGUAA